GUGAAUCAUCGAAUCUUUGAACGCAAAUUGCACUCCCUUGUAUUCCGGGGAGUAUGCCUGUUUGAGGGUCGUUAGAACAAAAAUCGAAGCGUCGCUCUUUUUUUUAAGGGUGAUCGCGUCUGAAUUGAGCCGUCUUGCAAAUGUUAAUUCAUGUCAAAGUGGCUUGAAAUUCAUCCAUCCGGUACUAUUAAAGCUUAUUUAAGAUCAACUUUUAUUAAGAACGCGUGAUGACUUACCAUCUCAUGUAGUACGUUGACUUGGCUUCGUCAGGAUCAUUCGUAUACA
rnacentral:misc_RNA from 1 species